rnacentral:lncRNA from 1 species
CUUGAGCCUGGCUACCUUCAUCAUCUGCUGAUUGUAGAGCCUUAGGACUUGAGCAAAUAUAAGCAGUUGCCAGGCAGUCAUUAUUGUGGGCCUUGGGCAAGACCCAAUGCUAUGCUGACUUCAGGUUGAACCCAGUGUAGUCCCAAGGUUAGUGGCCACAUGGGUGCUUGUGUCACCCCUCUCUUGACUCCAAGCAACUAAGCACAGAAAGACUGUUUGUGUGGUAAAAAGUAAGGAAAGAUAACAAGAGUCUCUUCCUUGAAUUCCAGGGAAUUCUUUCAGAUCUUGUCAAAGACAACCAUGGAAAUACUUCUACAAGUCUGCAAGAGCCACAGUGUCAUUGGUCUUGGGGUGUCCCCUAAUGCAGGUAUGGCUGAGUGACCAAAGACUUAGAUCAAAACAUCCAAGUUUCACUGAAUACCUGGAAGGCCAUCCCAAGAAGGACUAGUACACAAAAGCUCACAAUGUGAAAACUACAGUAAAUACAUAAUUCUUCAAUGCCUGAACACUGACGAAUAUGCACAAGCAUCAAGACCAUCCAGGAAAAUAUGACCACACAAAAUGAACUAAAUAAGACACAAGGGACCAAUUCUAGAGAAAGAGAUAUGUGACCUUUCACAUAAAGAAUUCGAAACAGCUAUUUUGAGAAAACUCAACAAAAUUGAAGAUAACAGAGAAAAAAGUUUCAGAAUCCUAUCAGUUAAAAUUUAAAAAGAAAUUUGAAAUAAUAAAAAAGAAUCAAGCAGAAAUUCUAUAGCUGAAAAAUGCAAUUGACAUACUAAAGAUUGCAUCAAAGUGUCUUAACAGCAGACUUGAUUAAGCAGAAGAAAGAAUUAGUGAGCUUGAAGACAGGCAAUUUGAAUGCACAGUCAGAGAAGACAAAAGAAUAAAAAAGAAUGAAGCAUGCCUACCAGAAAUAGAAAAUAGCCUAAAAAGGGCAAAUCUGAGUUGUUGGCAUAAAGACAAGGUAGAGAGAGAGAGAGAGUGAUCAGAGUAGGAAGUUUAUUUAAAGAAGUAAUCACACAAAACUUCCCAAACCUAGAGAAAACAUCAAUAGUAAAGUAAAAGAAGGUUAUAAAAUACUGAGCAGAUAUAACUCAAAUAAGACUAUCUAAAGACAUUUAAUAAUCAAACUCCUGAUCAUCAAGGAUAAAGAAAUGAUCCCAAAAGCAGCAAGAGAAAAGAAGCAACAUACAAAAGAGCUCCAAUAUGUCUGGAAGCAGACUUCUCAGUGGAAACCUUACAGGUCACGAGAGAGUGUCAUGACAUGCUUAAAGGGAUAAAAGUAAAAAAACCCUUUUAUCCUAGAAUAGUAUAUCCAACAAAAAUACCCUUCAAACAUGAAGGAGAAAUACUUCCCUAGACAAACAAAAGCUGAGGGAUUUCAUCAAUACCAGACAUGUACUACAAGAAAUGCUAAAGACAGCUUUUCAUUCUAAAAGGAAAAGAUGUUAAUGAGGAAAUCAUCUGAAAGUACAAAACUCACAGAUAAUAGUAAGUACGCAGAAAAAUACAGAAUAUUAUAACCCUGUCACUGUGGUGUGUAAAUUACUUAUCUCUUGAGUAGAAAGACUAAAAGAUGAACCCAUAAAAAAUAAUAACUGCAGCAAAUGUACAAGACCUAGACAGUAAAAUAAUCUAUUAAUAGAAAUAAGAGAAAGUUAACAACUGGGAAGACAAAGUUCAGGUGUAAUAUUUUCAUUAGGUUUUUUUUUUUUGCUUGUUAGUUUGUUUAGGCAAUCAGUGUUAAGUUGUCAGUUUAAAAUAAGAUAUGAAUGGAGACCUCAUGGUAACCGUAAAUUAAAAAAAAUACAAAGAAAAAUGUACACAAUAAAGAAAACACAAGAAAUUAAAGCAUACCAUGAAAGAAAGUCAACAUCACUAAAAAGAAGACAGGAAAGAGAGAAGGAAGAUAAGACCACAAAACAAGCAGAAAACAAAUAACAAAAUGGCAGGAGUAAGUGCUUACUUAUCAAUAAUAACAGUAAAUGUAAAUGUACUGAACUCUACAAUUAAAAGACUUAGAGUGAUUGAAUGUAUUAAAAAAAGAAGAUUAAAUGUUUUGUUGCCUACAAGAAACACACUUCAACUGUAAAGACACAAAUAGACUGUAAAUGAAGUGAAAAAAAUACAUUUCAUGCUAAUGGAAAUGAAAAAAUAGCAGAAAUAGCUGUGCCUGUAUCAGACAGAAUAGAUUUCAAGAUAAAGACCAUAAACAGAGACAAAAAAAGUUAUUUUGUGAUGAUAAAGGGGUCAUUCCAGCAAGAAGAUAUAAAAAUUAGAAAUACAUAUGCACCCAGCACUAGAGGACCCAGAUAUAUGAAGCAAGUAUUAUUACAGAAAAGAGAGAAACAGACUUUAAUAAAAUAAUAGCUGUAGACUUCAGCACCUCACUUUCAGUGUUUGACAGAAAAUCAUCAAAGAAAUGUCAAACAUUAUCUGCACUAUAGAACAAACAGACCUAAUAAAUAUUUACAGAAUAUUUUAUACAACAGCUGCAGAAUACACGUUCUUCUCAGCACAUGAAUUAUUCUCAAGGAUAGACCAUAUGUAGGUCACAAAGCAAGGUUAAAUAAUUCAAGAAAGUUGAAAACAUAUCAAGUAACUUCUUGUACCACACUGGAAUAAAAUUAGAAAUUAGUAACAAAGAAUUUUGGAAAUUAUGCAAACACAUGGAUAUUAAUCAUUAUGUUCUUGAAUGACCAGUGAGUCAAUGAAAAAAGUAAGAAUAAAAUUUAAAUUCUUCUUGAUAGUAUGAAAAUAGAAACACAACAUAUCAAAAUUUACAGGAUACAGCAAAAGCACAACUAAGAGCAAAGUUUCCAGCUAUAAAGUGCCUCCAAUUUAAAAAGUAUAUAAACUUCAAAUAAACAACCUAACAAUGCAUUUUAAAGAAUUAGAAAAGCAAGAGCACACAGAACCCAAAAUUAGUAGAGAGAAAAAAUAAUAAAGAGCAGAACAGAAAUAAAUGAAAUUGAAAUGAAGAAAACAACCCAAAAGAUCAACAAAAUGAAAAGUUGGCUUUUUGAAAAGAUAAAAUCGACAAAUUGUUAGUCAAACUAAUAAAAAAAAGAGAAGUCCCAAAUAAAUAAAAUCAGCAAUGAAAAAGAGACAUUAAAACCACUGCUUCAGAAAUUCAAGGGAUUGUUAGAGGCUGUUAUGGGCAGCUAUAUACCAAUAAAUUGGAAAACCUAAAGGAAAUGGAUAAAUGCCUAGACACAUAUUACCUACCAAGAUUAAACCAUGAAGAAAUCCAAAACCUUAACAGACCAAUAACAAGUAACAAAAUGGAAGCCAUAAUAACAAAUCUCCCAGCAAAUAAAAGCCUGGGGCCCUAUGGCUUCACUGCUGAAUUUUAAGAAACAUUUAACGAAGAUACAAUACCAAUUCUACUCAAACUAAUCUGAGAAAUAGAAGAGGAGGGAGUACUUUCAAAUUCAUUCUACAAGGUCAGUAUUACUCUGAUACCAAAACUUAGCAAAGACACAUCAAAAAAGAAAACUAUUUCACAUUGCAGUAUCCCUGAUAAACUCUGAUGCAAAAAUCCUGAAGCUAAUACUAGCAAGCUGAAUUCACCAAUACACUGAAAAAAUCACUUAUUAUGGCCAAGUGAGAUUUUUCCCAGAGAGGCAAGGAUUCAACAAAUGCAAAUUAAUCAAUGUAAUAUAUCAAAAGAUUGAAGGACAAACAGCCCAUGAGCAUUUCAAUUGACUGUGAAAAACCAUUUUAUAAAAUCCAACAUUGCUUCAUGAUUAAACCCCUCAAAAAAUGGGUAUACAAGGAUCAUGCCUCAACAUAUACAAAAAGAAGCCACAUAGGACAGACAAUGAAUGGGGAAAAACUGAAAGCUUUUCCUCUAAGAUCUGGAAACUGACAAGAAUGCCGACUUUUACCACUUUUAUUCAACAUAGCACUGGCAGUCUUCCCUGGAGUAAUCGACAACAGAAAGAAAUAAAAACCUUCCAAAUUGGAAAGGAAUAAAUCAAAUUAUCCUUGUUUGCCGAUGAUAUCAUCAUAUAUUUGAAAAAACAAAAACACUUCACCAGAAAACCAUUAGAACUGAUAAAUUCAGUAAAGUAACAAAAUCAACAUGUAAGAAUCAGAAGCCUUUCUAUAUGCCAACAGCAAAUAAUCUGAAAAAGAAAUCAAGAAAGUAAUCCCAUUUACAAUAGAUAAAAUAAAAUAUGCAUGAAUGAACUUAAUCAAAGAAGUGAAAGACUCUACUUUGAGGAAAAAAUUUACAAUUUCUGACAAACACUAUAUGACCUUGUAAUCGUACUUCAAAGUGUAAAAAAAUAAAAAUUCAUGUUUACACAAAAGCCUGUAUGCCAAUAUUUACAGAUGCUUCAUUCAUAAAUUCCUAGAAUUGGACACAUCUAUUUUGUUUUUCCUUUUAUAAUAAAUUCUGGAAAAUAUAAAUGUAUUGGGAUAAAACAAUAGUUGGGUGUAAUAGUUAAGUACAGGAGUGUCAUGCAAGGAAUAUUUUCAGGGGAAGUAAUGAUCAUGGGUGGGGAUGGUAGAUGCAUGGCUCUAACUCUAGAUUUCAAUUUAGAUUUGUCAAAAAUCAUGGAACUGUGCACCACAAAGAAUGAACUUUCCUGCAUGAAAAUUAAAAUCAAAUCAAUGAGCAUUAGGGUAUUUCACAGGAAGAAAUGCAUACUGUGACAAAUGAAUCUCAUUGUUUUACAAAUAUAUACUAUGUUAUAACACCAUUAAAAAGUGAGAAUAAAGGAGCUAACUCUGGAAAAUAGCAUUUUAAUCAGACACUAUGAGGGGAAAACUGAAAAAUAAUUGUAUGUAAAUAUUCUUUUUGGGGGUAUUUUUUCUCAUAGGAGUACUGAUUAGAAAUUAAGAAACCAUAUUGUAUUCGUAUUGACUUUGAACACUCGAGUAAAAGGAAUAUUCAUUAAUUGUGGUGUGACUUUAGUAUAUGUCAGGAACUCUUUGAUAGUUCUUACUCCAGAUGUGACAGCUUAGUUUUCCUCCACUUGAGUGUAGGCCAGCUUAAUGAUGCUCCUCUAACCAAUAGAAUGGGAAGGGAAAAAUAAAGUGGGACAAUGUAGUAGACACCACCAUGACCAAGUGGUCAAAUUUAACUCAUCCAUAAAAAGCCAUCAUUCUCGCUCUGAGAUGAUGCAUUGAAAAGAUCACUUUAGUUCUGCGGUAUUCUUCCAUAAAUUAUGAAACUUCAAUCUAAUCAUAAGAAAACAUCAGUGAUAUCCAAAUUAAGGGUCAUUGUGCAAAAUACCUAACCAAUACUCUACAAAAGUACAUUAGUGGAAAAAUAGUGAAUCAGAAUAAAGUCUGUGAUUUAUAGUAUUGUACCAAUUUUAGUUUCAUAGUUAUGAUAAAUGCAUCAUGAUUACAUAUGAUGUUAACUUUAGGAGAAUUAGGGGAAGGCUGUAUAGAAGCUCUCUGUAUUGUAUUUACAACUCAUCUCUAAAUCUGAGGUUAUUUCAAAACAAAAGUUUAAAAAUAUAGAAAUUCCUAUGGUAAUCAAGUCUCCAAAGUUAGGAAAUAAACAACCCAAUGAAUAUUGACCAAAUAUUUAAAUUUUUUUGGCAAGGAAUUUAUAGUGAUAGUAAAUGAGUAUAUGAAAAAAUGUACAGCAUCAUAAUGGAAAUAAAAAUUCAAACCAAAAUGAGAUUUAGUUACAUAUUUGUUGGAAUGGCUAAAAAUAAUGACUGACUGUGUCAGUCAUGGAGCAACUUAAACUCUAAAACUGAUGGUAUACUUUAAAGCUUAAGCUGCAGCAAUAUGAUGACUUAGCCACUUCUAUCUUAGACAUUUAAGCAAGAGAAAUGAAAAUCUGUGUUGAUAUAGAGACCUGUUUACAAAGUGAAGUUUACAAUAGCUUUAUUUGUAAAAGUCAGUAAUUAAAAAUAUACCAAUGUCCAUGCAUAGAUGACAGUAAACCUUUUGUGAUACAUUGAGAUUAUGGAAUAUUACUUGUCCAAUAAAGGAGUGAAAAAUUUAUACACAUGACAACUUGGAUGGAUCUCAAAAUAAUUACUUUGAAUGAAUAAAGCCAACAACAGAGUACAUACUAUAUGGUGUUAUUUCUCAAAAUUUUUUAUGAAGU